rnacentral:rRNA from 1 species
UACAGAGGUCCCAAGCGUUGUUCGGAUUCACUGGGCGUAAAGGGUGCGUAGGCGGCGCGGUAAGUCGGGUGUGAAAUCUUGGAGCUUAACUCCGAAACUGCAUUCGAUACUGCCGUGCUUGAGGACUGGAGAGGAGACUGGAAUUUACGGUGUAGCGGUGAAAUGCGUAGAUAUCGUAAGGAAGACCAGUGGCGAAGGCGGGUCUCUGGACAGUUCCUGACGCUGAGGCACGAAAGCGUGGGGAGCAAACAGG